UUCAUCCAAAGGCUGCCGAGUCCUUGAAACCCGUCUGGGCCUCGGCGAGCUCCUCUGUGACCACCCCCGAGCUCUCCCGGGCCGGGCGGUGGCUGCGGGCAGGAGACGCGGAGAGAAGACGAGCCACUGAGCAGAAUGGCAGUAGGAAUUCACUGGAGGGAAGGGCCGGUGGGGGACAGACCGUACAGAGAUGGGACCGCUCAGCCAAGGGACCACAGCUAGGGCCAGCUCCAGCCGAGGCAGGAAGAAGCCACACCAGCACUAGCUCACCAUUGCUUCUUGUCUCCUUGCCGGCUCUGCUUCUCUGUUCAUUACCCCAAGGCAUGACAAGGUGAGGUGUUCUGUCAUCUAGCAUUUGGGUAUGUUGUCUGGUGUCCAGCCCUGAAUGUGUGGCAACUAUUCCUUUUGUUGAGAACAGCACUCUUUGGCUUACACUGCUGGAUUUAAUAAUGGGUUUGACCAUAUGCAGGAGCAGAUGCUAAGGGAAGGGUCCCAGAGGCUUCCGCAAAAUUCCUUCUCCUCCAUGCUUGGUGACACAAGAGUUAUGGAAUAGAGUGAAGGUAAGGGGACUAUGUGUCCAUCUUCUAUGGUCUCCUGUUCCCACCUGGGCAACUUUGAUCCCACGCUGCUGCAAGCUUUCUUGAUCCUUCAAGAUGAGAAGGUAGUCAAGUUGCAAACUCUGCUUCUAACCAAAGCACAGCAAAAGACUCCAUGGCUUUCAAAUCUCAGUCUCUUUAUUACAAUCUCAUCCCAGUAACAAAGAUUAAAAUGUUCCACAUCAUGUAGGAGAAGAUCAAAAUGGGUGUAAAUUCAACAGAAAGUUUUUUUGCAUGAUAUCUUGGGGCCAGAAGUAUCCACAAGCCAGAGCACUUCCUUUGGAAGGGAAGAUGGAAAGAAGGCACAAAAGGCAAACAACCUUUCCCAAGGCUUAAGCAGAGACAGCCCAGCAUUCUGGCUUGAGCAGCCAUUCUUACACACUUCCAGCCGGACAGAAGUCAGAGACAUUUCCAUUGCAAUGACACAGUCAGCAGAAGAGCAGUGAAAUCCCUGCUCCAAAAUUGUCACUAGAGACAAUUAGUAUGACCUGAGGAUAGCAUAUGCAUGUGGAGACCACAGUGACAUGGAAAGCACUGUCAAGUAUUAGAGGAAUAGAAA